rnacentral:rRNA from 1 species
GACGAACGCUGGCGGCGUGCUUAACACAUGCAAGUCGAACGGAAAGGCCCUGCUUUUGUGGGGUGCUCGAGUGGCGAACGGGUGAGUAACACGUGAGUAACCUGCCCUUGACUUUGGGAUAACUUCAGGAAACUGGGGCUAAUACCGGAUAGGAGCUCCUGCUGCAUGGUGGGGGUUGGAAAGUUUCGGCGGUUGGGGAUGGACUCGCGGCUUAUCAGCUUGUUGGUGGGGUAGUGGCUUACCAAGGCUUUGACGGGUAGCCGGCCUGAGAGGGUGACCGGCCACAUUGGGACUGGGGUACGGCCCAGACUCCUACGUGAGGCAGCAGUGGGGAAUAGUGCACAAUGGGCGGAAGCCUGAUGCAGCAACGCCGCGUGCGGGAUGACGGCCUUCGGGUUGUAAACCGCUUUCGCCUGUGACGAAGCGUGAGUGACGGUAAUGGGUAAAGAAGCACCGGCUAACUACGUG